GUCACAAGAUUUUCAUCUCUAAUUUUCAUUUUUGAACAGUUGGUUGAGUUUGUGCUUUUGUUAUCUUCAAUUUCAGGUGAAUGUGGAUAUCAAAGGAGGCGGUAGAGCUGGUGGCGGUGGUGGUGGUGGUAGAGGGGGCAGAGUUCGAGACUGGCCCUGCCCUAAUCUAGGGGACAAAGGUAAAUUCUAUGCCUUCAAAGUUUUGACACUUUCGUCAUUUUCAGCUUACUCAUGCUUUCUUCUUACCGUUCUAAGUAACUUUUAUUUCUCAGCAAGGUUAUGAAUGAAUAUACUUGGUAAUUAUACCUCCAUGUAGACUUGAACAAAACUGAGGUUAUCUCCCUCUUGGCGGGGCAAUCCGGAUGGUAAUGUCAAGGCAACUGAUUCUCACACAUUACAUCCGGUCUGGAUGGUAAUGUCAAGGUACAACUGAUUCUCUCACAUUGCAACCAGUCGCGUUGCAGGCACAAUUGUUGCUGGAAGUACAAUUACACCAAAGUUAUUUAGGUUGCAAUUUAGAUUUUUUUGUUAUCUAAGAGUGAACGUCUGAAUACUUAUUUUUGAUGUUUUCUACU